ACACUUACCCCUCCGCAGCUUCACUCUCCACUUUCCUUUUCAACUCUCUCCCUCACGCUUAUCUUUUCAAUGGAAACCAGGGGCCAAAAUCCAUGGCCACCUCUGCUUCAUUCUUUGACAAACCUCGCAGAGAGCCUCCAUUCGCAGGACUCCAAAACACAUGCACGACCUGGUACUAACUCCAAACUCCUAAAAAUCUACAGUUACCUUCUCGGACCGAUGAAACUGGCGAAGCUGUCUAUUCUCCAUGACAAAAAUUUGAUUUAAAGUACAUCAAAGCAGUUGCAUGGUUAGACAGCUCCAACCAACCAAUCCAUUGGUUCGAGCUUGCUCUGACUUGGCCCGGAUAAAUCGAGCAUCUACAGUUACCAUCAAA